AAACGUGGAAAACAUGUAACUUCUUCAAAUUUAUUUAAAAUGACUCAAUGCUGUGCUGAGAUGAGACGGAAUUCUGAAAUCUACAUUUACACUACGUUUUCUUUCUGUGAAUCCAGUAACUUCUGACUGGAGACACACUAAAAACUUAAUUUAUUCAACCUAUUGUUUUGUGUGUCAGUCUCCCAUAGAUACAGGAUGAGAGGAUUUGACCAGCUGGUUUAGCAGAUGGGGACCCGACCACAAGAUGGCAGAGCAUCUCUGCUAAUGUAGAUAUGUGAAAGGGUCCUUUUGGUUGGCUCUGUAAGAGUUGGCUAAAGACAGAAGCAGAUGCCUGUGUAGACAGUUUAAGAAACCACUGUGCUUUGGAGGAAAUCAAGAGAUAACUUGGUAACAGAAGCAGCUCUCCUGGCUGGAGACUGCCGGUCCCAAUUGGAAGAAGCAUGAAGACACUCAUUGGACCUUUGUUCCUGUUCUUGUGGCUGCAGCUGGACUGUAUGAGUAGAGGAGAAGAGGUAAAGCAGCAGCCUUCUUUCCUGAGUGUCUGGGAGGGAGACAGCUUUGUUAUCAACUGCACUUACACUGACAGUGCCUCCACCUACUUCUUUUGGUAUAAACAACAGCCUGGAAAAGGCCUCCAGUUGCUUAUAUAUACUGUUUCAAGUAUGGACAAGAAACAAGAACAAAGGCUCACUGUCCUAUUGAAUAAGAAGGACAAACAUCUCUCCCUGCAAGUCACACGCACUCAUCCUGGAGACUCAGCCACCUACUUCUGUGCAGUAAGAGCACAGUGGUCCCCAAGCACCUGCAGCCUGUCUCCAAACCUAAAACUGGGGUGGAAGCCUCACUCUUUUUAUUUUGCCACAGGCCUUCAAGUUAGAGAUUUUGCUGUAUUGAAUUUUAAACAUAUAAACAUUCUAAAUGAUUUGAAGAGUCAGUUUCAAGUGACCCAAUAA